rnacentral:rRNA from 1 species
UACGGGGGAUGCAAGCGUUGUCCGGAAUAACUGGGCGUAAAGGGAGCGUAGGUGGUUAUUUAAGUUAAAUGUGAAAUCCCGUGGCUUAACUACGGAACUGCAUUUAAUACUGGGUGACUUGAGUACAGGAGGGGUAAGCGGAAUUCCUAGUGUAGCGGUGAAAUGCGUAGAUAUUAGGAGGAACACCGGAGGCGAAGGCGGCUUACUGGACUGCAACUGACACUGAGGCUCGAAAGCGUGGGGAGCAAAC